CCCUUAGAUGUUCUGGGCUGCACGCGCGCUACACUGGUGCGUUCAGCGAGUUUAGCACCUUAACAGAUAUGUUUGGGUAAUCUUCUGAAAACGCACCGUGAUGGGGAUCGAUUAUUGUAAUUAUUAAUCGUCAACGAGGAAUUCCUAGUAAGUGUGAAUCAUCAGUUCGCGCUGAUUACGUCCCUGCCCUUUGUACACACCGCCCGUCGCUGCUACCGAUUGAGCGGUCCGGUGAAUUAUUCGGACCGGUGGACUGUGGGGAAACCCGCGGCCUGCUGGGAAGUCUUGUGAACCUUAUCACUUAGAGGAAGCAGAAGUCGUAACA
rnacentral:rRNA from 1 species